GGCCCAAGGUGGAAAAAGGGCUUCAGGGGGAGCGGUCCUCCCCAAGACUCAAAGGCCCAGCAACAGCAGCAAUGUCCCGAGGCCUCCUUGGAGCCUUAUAUGCUGUGGUGGAGUAUGGGGCCCGCCCCCAGGCCCAAGGUGGAAAAAGGGCUUCAGGGGGGAGCGGUCCUCCCCAAGACUCAUAGGCAAAGCAACAGCAGCAAUGUCCCGAGGCCUCCUUGGAGCCUUAUAUGCUGAGGUGGAGUAUGGGGCCCGCCCCCAGGCCCAAGAUGGAAAAGCGCCUAACGCCUGGGGCGGUCCUCCCCAAAACUCACCGGCAAAGCAACAGCAGCAAUGUCCCGAGGCCUCCUUGGAGCCUUAUAUGCUGUGGUGGAGUAUGGGGCCCGCCCCCAGGCCCAAGGUGGAAAAAGGGCUUCAGGGGGGAGCGGUCCUCCCCACAAACUCACGGCAGAGCGGCAGCAGCAAUGUCCCGGGCCUCCUUGGAGCCUUAUAUGCUGUGGUGGAGUAUGGGGCCCGCCCCCGGCCCAAGGUGGAAAAAGGGCUUCAGGGGGGAGCGGUCCUCCCCAAGACUCACCGGCAAAGCAACAGCAGCAAUGUCCCGAGGCCUCCUUGGAGCCUUAUAUGCUGUGGUGGAGUAUGGGGCCCGCCCCCAGGCCCAAGAUGGAAAAAGGGCUUCAGGGGGGAGCGGUCCUCCCCAAAACUCACCGGCAAAGCAACAGCAGCAAUGUCCCGAGGCCUCCUUGGAGCCUUAUAUGCUGUGGUGGAGUAUGGGGCCCGCCCCAGGCCCAAGGUGGAAAAAGGGCUUCAGGGGAGCGGUCCUCCCCACAAACUCACGGCAGAGCGGCAGCAGCAAUGUCCCGGGCCUCCUUGGAGCCUUAUAUGCUGUGGUGGAGUAUGGGGCCCGCCCCCAGGCCCAAGGUGGAAAAAGGGCUUCAGGGGGGAGCGGUCCUCCCCAAGACUCACCGGCAAAGCAACAGCAGCAAGGUCCCGAGGCCUCCUUGGAGCCUUAUAUGCUGUGGUGGAGUAUGGGGCCCGACCCAGGCCCAAGGUGGAAAAAGGGCUUCAGGGGGGAGCGGUCCUCCCCAAGACUCAUAGGCAAAGCAACAGCAGCAAUGUCCCGAGGCCUCCUUGGAGCCUUAUAUGCUGUGGUGGAGUAUGGGGCCCGCCCCCAGGCCCAA